AUAGAUUAAGUUAUUAAGGGCGCACGGUGGAUGCCUUGGCACUAGAAGCCGACGAAGGACGUUACUAACGACGAUAUGCUUUGGGUAGCUGUAAGUAAGCGUUGAUCCAGAGAUUUCCGAAUGGGGGAACCCAGCACGAGUUAUGUCGUGUUAUCGACAAGUGAAUUCAUAGCUUGUCAGAAGGCAGACCCGGAGAACUGAAACAUCUUAGU
rnacentral:rRNA from 1 species